rnacentral:rRNA from 1 species
GUGAAGCCGGAUUCGCUAGUAAUCGCGCAUCAGCCAUGGCGCGGUGAAUACGUUCCCGGGCCUUGUACACACCGCCCGUCAAGCCAUGGGAGCCGGGGGUGCUUGAAGUGCGUCGCCGCAAGGCGCGCCCUAGAGCAAAACCGGUGACUGGGGCUAAGUCGUAACAAGGUACC